UACGAAGGGGGCAAGCGUUGUUCGGAAUUACUGGGCGUAAAGGGCGCGUAGGCGGCUUACCAAGUCAGGCGUGAAAUCCCCGGGCUCAACCCGGGAACUGCGUCCGAUACUGGCAGGCUUGAAUCCGGGAGAGGGAUGCGGAAUUCCAGGUGUAGCGGUGAAAUGCGUAGAUAUCUGGAGGAACACCGGUGGCGAAGGCGGCAUCCUGGACCGGCAUUGACGCUGAGGCGCGAAAGCCAGGGGAGCAAACGGG
rnacentral:rRNA from 1 species